rnacentral:rRNA from 1 species
AACGAACGCUGGCGGCAGGCCUAACACAUGCAAGUCGAACGCUGUAGCAAUACAGAGUGGCAGACGGGUGAGUAACGCGUGGGAACCUUCCCAGUGGUGCGGAAUAGCUCAGGGAAACUUGAGGUAAUACCGCAUAAGCCCCUAGGGGGAAAGAUUUAUCGCCAUUGGAUGGGCCCGCGUCGGAUUAGCUAGUUGGUGAGGUAAUGGCUCACCAAGGCAACGAUCCGUAGCUGGUGAGAGAAUGACCAGCCACACUGGGACUGAGACACGGCCCAGACUCCUACGGGAGGCAGCAGUGGGGAAUCUUGGACAAUGGGCGCAAGCCUGAUCCAGCCAUGCCGCGUGAGUGACGAAGGCCUUAGGGUUGUAAA